GACGAACGCUGGCGGCGUGCCUAAUACAUGCAAGUAGAACGCACAGUUUAUACCGUAGCUUGCUACACCAUAGACUGUGAGUUGCGAACGGGUGAGUAACGCGUAGGUAACCUGCCUGGUAGCGGGGGAUAACUAUUGGAAACGAUAGCUAAUACCGCAUAAUAUUGAUUAUUGCAUGAUAAUUGAUUGAAAGAUGCUAUUGCAUCACUACCAGGUGGACCUGCGUUGUAUUAGCUAGUAGGUGAGGUAACGGCUCACCUAGGCGACGAUACAUAGCCGACCUGAGAGGGUGAUCGGCCACACUGGGACUGAGACACGGCCCAGACUCCUACGGGAGGCAGCAGUAGGGAAUCUUCGGCAAUGGACGAAAGUCUGACCGAGCAACGCCGCGUGAGUGAAGAAGGUUUUCGGAUCGUAAAGCUCUGUUGUAAGAGAAGAACGGGUGUGAGAGUGGAAAGUUCACACUGUGACG
rnacentral:rRNA from 1 species